rnacentral:rRNA from 1 species
UACGAAGGGGGCUAGCGUUGCUCGGAAUCACUGGGCGUAAAGGGUGCGUAGGCGGGUCUUUAAGUCAGGGGUGAAAUCCUGGAGCUCAACUCCAGAACUGCCUUUGAUACUGAGGAUCUUGAGUAUGGGAGAGGUGAGUGGAAUUGCGAGUGUAGAGGUGAAAUUCGUAGAUAUUCGCAAGAACACCAGUGGCGAAGGCGGCUCACUGGACGACUGAUGACGCUGAGGUGCGAAAGCGUGGGGAGCAAACAGG